rnacentral:rRNA from 1 species
UCGAGCGAGCAUAGAUGUGGAAGUUUUCGGAUGGAAGCGUGUAUGACUGAGCGGCGGACGGGUGAGUAACGCGUGGGUAACCUGCCUCAUACAGGGGGAUAACAGUUAGAAAUGACUGCUAAUACCGCAUAAGCGCACAGGACCGCAUGGUCUGGUGUGAAAAACUCCGGUGGUAUGAGAUGGACCCGCGUCUGAUUAGCUGGUUGGUGAGGUAACGGCCCACCAAGGCGACGAUCAGUAGCCGACCUGAGAGGGUGGCCGGCCACAUUGGGACUGAGACACGGCCCAAACUCCUACGGGAGGCAGCAGUGGGGAAUAUUGCACAAUGGGGGAAACCCUGAUGCAGCAACGCCGCGUGAGUGAAGAAGUAUUUCGGUAUGUAAAGCUCUAUCAGCAGGGAAGAGAAUGACGGUACCUGACUAAGAAGCCCCGGCUAACUACGUGCCAGCAGCCGCGGUAAUACGUAGGGGGCAAGCGUUAUCCGGAUUUACUGGGUGUAAAGGGAGCGUAGACGGCUGUACAAGUCUGAAGUGAAAGCCCGUGGCUCAACCGCGGAACUGCUUUGGAAACUGUAAAGCUGGAGUACUGGAGAGGCAGGCGGAAUUCCUAGUGUAGCGGUGAAAUGCGUAGAUAUUAGGAGGAACACCAGUGGCGAAGGCGGCCUGCUGGACAGAAACUGACGUUGAGGCUCGAAAGCGUGGGGAGCAAACAGGAUUAGAUACCCUGGUAGUCCACGCGGUAAACGAUGAAUGCUAGGUGUUGGUGGGCAAAGCCCAUCGGUGCCGUCGCAAACGCAGUAAGCAUUCCACCUGGGGAGUACGUUCGCAAGAAUGAAACUCAAAG